UACGUAGGGGGCAAGCGUUGUCCGGAUUUAUUGGGCGUAAGGAGCGUGUAGGCGGCCAGGUAGGUCUGCUGUGAAAACUCGAGGCUUAACCUCGAGAUGUCGGCGGAAACCAUCUGGCUAGAGUCCGGAAGAGGAGAGUGGAAUUCCUGGUGUAGCGGUGAAAUGCGUAGAGAUCGGGAGGAACACCAGAGGCGAAGGCGGCAAGCUGGAUGGGCACUGACACUCAACUGCGAAAGCUAGGGGAGCAAACGGG
rnacentral:rRNA from 1 species